CAUUAGUGAUGCAGAGAAAAUCCCCGCAGGCAUCUCCUUGAGCCACACUGUGUUCGUAGCCUGUGAACCCCAUCAACUUGAUCAUCCCUGAGGCAAGAGGCUUUGGUUAAGGACAUCGGAUGGUCUCUUGGGCCUUAAACUCCCAGCUGCUGUGUUUAACUAUUCUUUUCAUCCUUCAGCCCCUAAGGAGGUUAUGGGCAAAGUAUGCACUUUGCAAAUGUUGCCGGCAAUGAAGUAAAUAUUAAUGUUAGCACUGUCUCCAUUUGAUAAGGAAACAGCAGGUUAAGGAACCAGGUUGGGGGUGAAUCAGAACGGCAGGCCUUUGGGAAUGCAGUGGGUUUAGGGACGGUAUAUGGGUAUACCCUGAAAUUUCUGGGCACAAAGUGGCUCUGAGUCCCACCUAUGGUUUCUACAUCCUGCCCUCGAUCCCAUCACACAGUCAUCCGCCAACACACACCGAGAUGCUGUUUUGUACCUAACUCUAAGUUACCUGCUGUUUGUGGGGGGGGGGGGGCAGGUAUAGCUAGCAGAGAUGAUCAAGAGUCAAAGAAAAAUAAAAAAUAAAAACACAUUCCUUCUCCCCAGGAACUUAAAACUAAAUAUAGAGACUAAUUAUAGUCCGAAUAAAAACUGCAGUAAAAGAAGCCAAAUGUCAAGCAAGAUUUUCCGUUUGUUGAGUGCUAAGAAGUUCCACAAGGUAAAGUCCCCUGGCUCAGACGUCCACAGGCGUUUCUGACGUAGUUGCAAGAGGGCAAAGAAGGAAAAUAGGAAUCGUGGCAGCUGUGGCAGCUGCAAUUUGUUGAAGCCUCCCCUGCCCGGCGAAUGGGGGCCACACCCGAGGAGGCCCCAGGAGGAGUUGGGCGGUGCUGCCCCCUAGAGGUCAGCUGAGAAUGUCGCUGAAUAUUGGAGGCUUAAAUCCCAGGCAAUGCCGAUCGCGAUGUGCUCAGACUGCGCAUGCUCUGUGGAAAAAGACAUGAGCCUGUCUCGCCUUGCGGUGAGAUGUUGGGGUUCAGACCUGUUCAGACCUUCUGCUGGGUUCGGAGGAAAGGACUCGGCCACGAGGGACGUGUGCGCGCAGGCGCGCGCGCGCGCACACACGCUACUGCUGGGAGCUCCCGGUUGGAGACUUUUGGGGAGACAAAGGUCAGCCAAGUACGGAAAACCUCCCAGCAAUUGUUAGAAGCAAGGCACAGGCCCACGAGCCUUUCAUCAAAACGCUCAGGCCAGAUGAGUUUGGGAAUUUUGAAUUUGUCGGAUUUUAGGAGAUAUCUAGCAUGUCGCCCGUAAUCGAUCACAUCAAUAUUUCUGCAGCAAAAUGUACCAGCAGCAAAGUGAAAUAAAGACAGGCAACAGCCUUGUGCCAGCUCAGGCAGAAUUUGCCACCAAAUGUGUUUUAGCACCAAAAAGAAAAAGCUUUCAGUUUUCACAACGUUUUGGAGUUCAGAAUUACAGAUAAGCGUGUGUCGACCUGUGUAGACAAUGCAGAGAAGGAACCUGUCAGUUGUCCCAAAGACCUCAGGAGGCUUCAGAGAGGAGGUUGUGCUUGAGCUGAGAGCUGACAGUGAGAGCUGGUGGAGAGACCGACCACAGGAGAGAACCAGCAGAGAACCAGCGGAGUACACAGGUGAGGGCAGCCUCCCCUCAUUCAGCAUGCCUGGAAAUAUUAAGCCAGAACCUGCACUCUUAUUAACAUUCCCAAGUUGGCCUGAAAACCACCCUGUUGCAAGAAGCCUUCUCUGACUACCUACCCUCUCCUAUAUGUAUUGCAUUGACAUUCCAAAAAAGACCUGUGAGUUUUUCUUCAGACCACUGCAGAUCUAAAAUUCCUCCAGUGCAGGCACAAAAACAGACACACAGACCAGUGGAACAGAAUAGAGAACCAGGAAAUAAAACUGCACACCUACAACUGUCUGAUAUUCAACAAACCUGACAAAAACAAGCAGUAGGGAAAGGAUUCCCUGUUCAAUAAAUGGUGCUGGGAGAACUGGCUAGCUAUAUGCAGAGGACUAAAACUGGACCCCUUCCUUACACCAUACACAAAGAUUAACUCAAGAUGGAUUAAAGACUUAAAGGUAAAACCCAAAACUAUGAAAGUCCUGUAAUACAACCUAGGCAAUACCGUUGAGGUUACAGGCACUGUCAAAGAUUUCAUGACAAGGACACCAAAAGCAAUGACAACAAAUGCAAACAUUGACAGAAGGGAUCAAAUUAAACUAAAGAACUUUGGGAGGCCAAGGUGGCCGGAUCACUUCAGGUCAGGAGUUCGAGACCAGCCUGGUCAACAUGGUGAAACCCUGUCUCUACGGAAAUACAAAAAUUAGCUGGGUGUGGUGGUGUGCGCCUGCUAUCCCAGCCACUCAGGAGGCUGAGACAGGAGAAUCGAUUGAACCCAGGAGGCAGAGGUUGCAGUGAGCAUGCCACUGCACUCCAGCCUGGGUAACAGAAUGAGACUCCAUCUCCAAAAAAAAUAAAAUAAAGAGCUUCCACACAGCAAAAGAAACCAUCAACAGAGUAAACAGACAACCUACAGAAUGGGAGAAAAAUUUUGCAAACUAUGCAUCAGACCAAGAUCUGAUAUCCAGCAUCUAUAAGGAAUUUAAAUGCAUAAGAAAGAAUAAACCUAUAAAAAAGUAGGCAAAGGACAUAAGUAGACACUUUUCACAAGAAGACAUACAUGUGGCCAAUAAUCAUACAUAUAAAAAAAAAGCCCAACAUCACUGAUCAUUAAAGAAAUGCAAAUCGGGCCGGGUGUGGUGGCUCACACCUGUAAUCUCCCACUUUGGAAGGCUGAGGCAGGCGGAUCACAAGGUCAGGAGUUUGAGACUAGCCCGGCCAACACAGUGAAACCCCAUCUCUACUAAAAAUACAAAAAAUUAGCCGGUCAUGGUGGCAGGCACCUGUAAUCCCAGCUACUCUGGAGCCUGAAGCCGGAGAAUCACUUGAACACAGGAGGCAGAAGUUGUGGUGAGAGGAGAUCACGCCAUUGCACUCCAGCCUGGGUGACAGAGUAAGACUCCAUCUCAAAAAAAAAAAAAAAAAAAAAAAAAGCAAAGUAAAACAAUAAUGAGAUGCCAUCUCAUACCAGUCAGAAUGGCUAUUAGUAAAAAGUCAAAAAAUAACAGGUGCUGGCAAGGUUGUGGAGAAAAAGGAAUGCUUCUGCAUUGUUGGUGAGAGUGUAAAUUUGUUCAACCAUUGUGGAAGACAGUGAGACAAUUCCUCAAAGACCUAAAGGCUGAAAUACCACUGGAACCAGCAAUCCCAUUACUGGGUAUAUAUCCAAAGGAAUAGAAAUCAUUCUAUUAUAAAGAUAAGUAAAAUGUGGUAUAUAUACACCAUGGAAUACAACACAGCCAUAAAAAAGAACAAGAUCAACUGGGCGCAGUGGCUCAUGCCUGUAAUCCCAACACUUUGGGAGGCCGACGCAGCAGAUCAACUGAGGCUGGGAGUUUGGGACCAGCCUGACCAACGUGGAGAAACCCCAUCUCUAUGAAAAAUACAAAAUUAGCAGGUCGUGAUGGUGCAUGCCUGUAAUCCCAGCUACUCAGGAGGCUGAGGCAGGAGAAUGGCUUAAACUCGGGAGGCAAAGGUUGCAGUGAGAUGAGAUCUCGCCAUUAUACUCCAGCAAGCUGGACAACAAGAGCAAAAAAACUCCUCAAAAAAUAAAAAAUAAGCUGGGCGUGGUGACUCAAGUCUGUAAUCCCAGCUCUUUGGGAGGCCGAGGCGGGUGGAUCAUGAGGUCAAGAGAUCGAGACCAUGCUGGUCAACAUGGUGAAACCCCGUCUCUACUAAAAAUACAAAAAUUAGCUGGGCAUGGUGGCACGUGCCUGUAAUCCCAGCUACUCAGGAGGCUGAGGCAGGAAAAUUGCCUGAACCCAGGAGGCGGAGGUUGCGGUAAGCCGAGAUUGCACCAUUGCACUCCAACCUAGGUAACAAGAGCGAAACUCCAUC
rnacentral:lncRNA from 1 species